UUCUUUACUUUAUUGCUAUUCUUAUUGUACAUCUUGCGAUCUGGAGAACAUUGAUUUUGAAAUAUCAUCUUAGUAUCAAUUAAUUGCUGGAUAUGUUUUUUUCUUAUCUUCUUGUGGAAUGCAUGAGAGUAAAAUAUAAAGUAUUUGCCACUUUUUACAAUUGUUACCGUUGCUAGACACUCGAACGAUGCUAUGAACAGUCCUCCGCAAGUUAAAUGAAAUUCUU